CUUGUGCAACCUCAAGGAGAUGAACCAGGACUUUACUUGACAUGGAAAGAAGAACCAGUAGUAUGGGCUUCAGCAUGGAAACCCUAGCAAAAACAUUAAAAGAAAAAAGAGAAGAAGAAGAAGAAGGAGAAGAAGAAAACAAAAGAAAAAUGGUUAUGGCAAGUGGUAUGAUAGCAGUACCAUCUCUAUACGCUCAAGUCUCAGAGUAGUUUAUGAUGAUGAUCAUGGCAAUUUAUUCAGAAGGGAGGAGUUUAGAUUUGCUGCCAUGAAGAUAGAUUGAUCAUGAUGCAGUUUUUUAUUACUUUCAUUUCCAAAUGCUAUUCUCAUCAAAGAAGAAUAAUUCAUGCAUAUUUUGUAUUUUAUCUGAUGUCCAGGUACUUUUUAUUUCCUUUUUCUUCAUCUGCUUUAUGCUUGGGAGUUUGUGUUGCUUUUAAACUGCUUUCUUUAGAUCAUUGUAUUUGUUUGUUUGAAGGUGUUUGCACUUGUAUCUCCUUUUCUUCAGUGCCAUACCAAUCCCCAUUUCCCUUUUGGAUUGCUUGCUUAAGAUCUUUCUUCUCAACCCUUCUCUGGGGGAAUUCAUUUGUAACCAAAAUUAACUGCUACUGUGCUUGCUUCUAAAUUUGAAUAUCUUUAAUGAUGAUUUAUGUAUAUCCAUGUUGACAACUUUUUCUUCAUUUAUUUUAUGGUGUACCAUCUAAUUAAUUUAGAGUGUGUCGGAG
rnacentral:lncRNA from 1 species